UUGCUUUAGCAGUACAUAUACUAAAAUUAGAACAAUAAAGAGAUGAUCUGUCACAGCUCCUAUGCAAAGAUGAUACACAAAUUCAUGAAGCAUUCCAUAUUUUU
rnacentral:snRNA from 1 species